UUCUAGACUAGAUUGUGACUGUAUCUUAAUGUAAGCUCCUUCUUAUUUCUAAGAUGAGCAAUAGGGCACCCAAAAAGCAUUAAACUUUCAGACUUGCUGGUCAUAUAGAAUUCAAUCAACUUCGCUGACCACAGCUUGUAGUUCUAUGAGAGCAGCGAUCAGGAAGUCUUAUAACUGCAUCACUUACUUCAACAGACAUGCAUCAGAGGAAUGAAAACCAGAGAACCUGGAAAAAAUCCUUGAAUCAAGUAAGGAGAAAAAACUCUACUCACUACAUGUAAUCACGCAGGAAUGUCGGCCAGGAACCUGAGACCCCAGAUAUUAGAGGAGAGUGUACUACUGCUACGCCACUCUUGAUUUAACUGUUCAGACCUCCCUUUGCCCUCUCUUUCCCGCCCUGAUAUACUUACGUGCAUAAGCGAGUGACUUAUCGUUAAAGACAAGUUAACUUGUUUGUCUCUCUAGAAGCACUGUCCAAGAUUUGUCUAUGAAACUAAGUGAGCCAAUCCAAACUUUUUAGGUAACAGACGAUUAAAAGCCUCCUAAAAACAUG